rnacentral:rRNA from 1 species
CAGUAGCCGCGGUAACACGUAGGGUGCAAGCGUUAAUCGGAAUUACUGGGCGUAAAGCGUGCGCAGGCGGUUAUAUAAGACAGAUGUGAAAUCCCCGGGCUCAACCUGGGAACUGCAUUUGUGACUGUAUAGCUAGAGUACGGCAGAGGGGGAUGGAAUUCCGCGUGUAGCAGUGAAAUGCGUAGAUAUGCGGAGGAACACCGAUGGCGAAGGCAAUCACAUGGGCCUGUACUGACGCUCAUGCACGAAAGCGUGGGGAGCAAACAGGAUUAGAUACCCCAGUAGUCCCUGUCUCUUAUAA